AAAUUGAAGAGUUUGAUCAUGGCUCAGAUUGAACGCUGGCGGCAGGCCUAACACAUGCAAGUCGAACGGUAGCACAGAGGAGCUUG
rnacentral:rRNA from 2 species